rnacentral:rRNA from 1 species
UACGUAGGUGGCAAGCGUUGUCCGGAAUUAUUGGGCGUAAAGCGCGCGUAGGCGGCCACCUAAGUCGGAUGUGAAAGCCCCUGGCUCAACUGGGGAAGUGCACCCGAAACUGAGUGGCUUGAGUACUAAAGAGGGUCGCGGAAUUCCCGGUGUAGAGGUGAAAUUCGUAGAUAUCGGGAGGAACACCGGUGGCGAAGGCGGCGACCUGGGUAGAUACUGACGCUGAGGCGCGAAAGCGUGGGGAGCAAACAGG